rnacentral:lncRNA from 1 species
AUCCCAUACAUGAUCAAACAUAAACAUAAAACUUUAAAACAUUUACUAUACUAAGUUUGACCUGAACAUACAACAUAUUAUAAACAUAUAACCCACACCAGAGCCUUCAUCAAAUGCCCUAGUGUGGUCAACAUUACAUAUGUCAAGCCUGGUUUCUCAUGAGACAUCAUUACAAACAUAACAUACUGAUCAUGUAUAAGAAAGGAUUAACCAAACCUUAGGGCCAAGCACAAUACUAAUCCAUAAACAUAACUCUACUUUACGUUACAUUAUAUUACAUUAUCUUAAAAUACAUUAUAUCGAUUUACAUUACAUGUCCACUACUAUUCUAUUACAUAGCCAAAACUUUACCCUUGACGUCUUCCUGGACUACCUCUGACCUGCAAUCUGGGGUUAGGGGAGAGGGGUGAGCUAAAAAGCCCAGUGAGUAGAACAAUAAUAAAAAUCAUUUAAACAUAUGCUUUCAUGAAAUGCAUCGCAUCACAAACAUAUCACGUCAAGGAUGAACUUGUCAUCAAUAGCCCUCUACAUGUCUCAUAGCAUAACAUGUCCAACUAUGCCAGGGGCGAUACGGCCACGCCUAGUCUUCUCUUACAUAACUCAUAUCAUAAAAUGUCCAACUAUGCCAGGGGCGAUACGGCCACGCCUGGUCUUCUCUUACAUAUAACAUAUUGCCAGGGGCGAUACGGCCACACCUAGUCUUUCCAUCUCAUGUCAUAUCAUAUCAUAUCAUAUCAUAUCAUAUCGUACUGAGGGCUAAAGGAUCAUCCAAUAUCCAUCCACAUCGUCAUCAUAGUAUUAUGCAAUGCAUCAUAUUCGUGAAUUCUAAUGCAAACAACCUAUUACAUAACAUGGUAUUCAUGAUGCAUGAACAUGCUUAAAACAUUUGAUUUAUUUUAAAACAUAAAGUUCAGUUCUACUCACCUCUGGCUAGCUCUGGACUAACUCUGAAGCAGCUAACACUGCUGAACACCUCGGUUCCUCAGGUCCGAUCCUACACAGGUGGACUCAAAUGAGGGACCAAACAACUCUAACAUAACACUAAACAUCUCCCCAAAAACACCUCAAAACAUGCAAGCAAAACAGGCAAAGGAAGGCUGGACAGGGCAG